AUAAAGAAGGCCCUUUUUGUUGGUUGAAACAAGUAGAAAACGGAGAUCCCAUGGAGUCAAAUGGAUUGUUUGAUCACUUGAUUUUGGUGCCUUGAUUGUAUCGGAGGAGAGAACUCGGACGGCACCCAUUAAAUUAUUUCAGGUUAUUUUAUACAUUGAGGCUUGGAAGGACAUAUAUGUAGAUCGAUUAUAUAAGAAUAUUUUUGAGGUAAUAUAAGAAACUUGAUCAAUUAAAAAACUUGAUAUAUAUUAAACGAAUAUAAAAAAGACAUGAGAAUAUUGUUAAGGAUAACAUCAUGGCAUAAACAUGUAACUAUAUUAUUCUUAUGAUACCAAUAUGUGGUUGCUAGGCUUAUUCAAACAAGAUAUAUGGUUGGUAGGUUGUGGUAAGAGUAAGAGAUUCCAUGAUGACUAAAACAAGUGGAAGGGUUCGGUUUCUGUCUCCUCAUAUAUAUUUUUAUUUAUUUUUAAACAAAAAGUAGGUCUGAAGUGGAGAAUAUGUACUUUGAAGGCAGAGGCAACAAAAAAAAGUGAGUGUUAGUGAAAAAUAGAAAUACAGUGGCUUGUGUCAAUACAAAAUACUAAAAAAGGGCCAAGCAGAGGCAACAUUUUAGAAUGCAUAUGCACAAGGUUCUCGUUGAAGCAUCUUGGUUAAAUGAGUUGUCUCAAUUGAACUGCUAAGUAGAUAAAUUAUCUUUUAAAUAUUAAGGUUUGCCAAUUGGUGAUAAUCCUCUAAAAUUAUUUUUUUAGAAAUUUGUGGCUGACUGAAUCAGAGAAAGAUUGUCUUCUUGAAAAUGUAGUAAUUCGUUUUGGGUGGUCGUCUAAUUCUUUUGAAAGUUGUUUCAACCUCUCCGCUGAUAUACUUUUUCUUUAAUUUUUCAAAGCUCGUCCAGGAACCAUUCUUAAAAUCGAGUCUCUUUUUAAAUCUUUUUUUGUGGCGUGGGGGUGAAGAGGCUCGUAAAAUUUAUUGGGUCUAUUGGGACAAAAUGUGUUUACCAAAAGUAAAAGGAUGUUUAGGUGUGCGAAAUUCAAACACAUUUAAUUUAGAUCCUUUGGGAAUGUGAUGUUGGAGGUUAAGGAGGGAGAAUGAUGGACUUUGACGUCAAAUUUUAUCUCAUAAAUAUGGUUAUCUAAAUGGUAAAGUGGUUGGAAGGGGAAGUAAAGAUUCGAUUUGAGAGUGAUGUUUUUACAUUGUUAGAGGUGAUAAGUAGAGUGGAGGUAGAUGGUUCAUGCAUACUAAGAAAAUAGGUAAUGACAAUAACAUGUUUUUUUUUUUUUUUGAAGGAAUAACAUGUUAUUUUGGCACGAACCAUGGCUGGGAGUAGGCAUGGCAAUGGGGCGGGGUGGGGACGGGUUUUACCUUCCCCGUCCCCAUACCCGAUUCUCAUAUACUUACCUGUUACCCUACCCAUAUCCAACGGGGAUGAGAAAUUGAAUCCCAUCCCCGUCCCCGAGGGGUUCGGGUAUCCCCGCACCAUCCCCGUCCCCGCAUUGAAUAAUUUUUUUAAUAAAAAAUAUAAGUUUUUUUGCAUCCCCAAGAGCAACGUUGUAAUACAUUAUCCAACAAUAAGCUCACUUUCACAUUUGUUAGACAAAAUUAUUUAGUUGAUCCUUUAAAUAUCAAUGACAGUUUUUAUUAACAUGACAAUUAUCAAACAAAAUAACAUAACAUAUCAACAUAGAGUAGUUUUUUACAUUUGGGACGGGUUUGGGUAUGGGUUCGGGGUGGGUACCUAUAUACCCGUUACCCGUCCCAUACCCGUGUUUCGAGAUCGGGGAAAACCCAUACCCAUACCCAAAUCCAGUCAAAACGGGGAAAACCCGUCAAAUUGGGUUUAGUUCGGGUGGGUAACCACGAGUAUGGGUUUUGUUGCCAUGUCUAGCUGGGAGGAGAGGUUUUAAAGAAGCGCUUAAGUAGGUUCUUUAAUUUAAAACUGUAGAAAAAUGUGACCUUGAAGGAUAUGGUGUUGUAGUAGUGUUGGAGUUGUAGAAGAAUUUUGUUUGUAUGAGAGGAGAAGUUGGUGGAAGAGUGUAAGGUUUUAUUACCUAACAUUCUUAUGCUGGAUAAUAUGCAUGACACAUUUGUCACUUAAAGAAGUGUAUGACUUGAUAUCAAAUUUUAAAGAAAUUGUUGAUUCCUCUCGGUAUAAGGUCACUUGGAAUUUGUUGAUUCCAAUGAAGACAUCAAUGUUUGCUUGAAAAUUACUGUAUAAUCGUCUUCCAACUAAAGAUAAUUUAAUUCGAAAAGGAACACAAAAUUUAUCACCGCCUUAAAAUAUUAAUGGAUGUAUAACUUGAAUGAAACAUCUAAACAUUUAUUCUUUGAUUGUUUAUUCUUCGAAAAAAAAUAGGUGGAUGUUUUAUCUUGGUUGAGAAUUAGUUGUGCAAUGACAAAUAAUUGUUUGAAUCAUGCAGUUUAGUUCACAAGAUUGGUUUCUCAUGGAACGAAAGUGAAUGAAUCUUUUCAUGACGUGGUGUUUGAUCAACGUGAUUGUUUAACUUGUUCCUCUUUAAAUUUCGUUAAAUUAUUGAUAUGAUCAUGGAUGAAAUCUAAAAAAAAUAACUUUUUUAUUUGACCUCUAUCAAUGGAGCACUCAUCACUCUUAUGUUUAUGAGUGUUUUUUUUUCCUUUCUUCUGUAACUAAAUUUUUAUUUUUAUUCUUUGGUUUGGUGUCACUUAUUCUUUGUGUGCUUUUAUGUAAUAAUUAACGUUGCAACUUUUCGAUCAAGAGCUUCUAUCUCGAAUGCUACUCAAAGUAAUGAACACAUCUUGUAAUUUGGGUUGAUUUAAAAAAAUAGCACCUAACUUUCAUUCUUCCAAAAUACCUUUCAAAAUUAUUUUUCUCCUAAAUAAAACCCAAAAUAAGAUUAUUGAAAGAAUUUUGGGAAGUGCAUUUUUCAGCAAACUAAUACAGCACAAAAGUUGCAAACUCGGUUAGAAAAAGUCAAAACCUAAAAUAAAUUUUCAUUGGUUAUUCUUUUACCUCUUUUGUCAAAAAUGUUUUGAAAUGCAUUUUAGUUUCUGUUUUGAAACCAAACAAAGCAUAUGUAAAUUUUAAUUCUUGUUUAUUACUAUUGUUUAGAUAAAUUGAGAGAGUGCAAAUAAAUCGAUAUGAAUAUCUGACAUUUCAUCUAUAUGUUGGAUCUCAAAUACUCAACAAUCUGAAAUAACAAUAUCAAUCACAAGAAAGAGGAUUUAAAUUACGGCUUUUAAAAAUUUUGGUCAGUUAGCAACCUCAAAAGUGAAGUAGAGAAGUGAUUAUGAAGUAUGUGUCAAAAUGAAUUUAAGAGAAAAGUAUGUAUGUGUAUGAUUUGCUUCUAAUCUAUAAAAAUUAAAGAAAUAAGGGAUAUAAAUACCUAAUACCUAAAAUAGUAGUCAUUUUAUUUAUAUAUUUCCAUACAUAACCAAAGAAUGGAAAAGAUUCUUCAAGAGUCUCAAGUCUCAGAAGCGCAUGAUAAAUAUUGCCAAAGCCUAAUAUGGCAGAGGAAAUAAAGUGAAGUAAUCCAGACACAAAGUAUGGAAAUGUGUCUAUAACUUCCCCUCCAGGAGCUACCCCAAACCUAGAGUAGCGGUGAAGUAAAAUUAAUCCUUGUUCAUACAUGAGAUUCUCGGGUACGAAAUGAGCGACUUAAAAUAGGUUCAUUGCUCUGGGAAAAAAUACUAUUAAUACGGCAUGGGCCCCCAAUAGUUUACUAUAUAAAUUGAUAAGUCGGGCAUUCCCGGCUCACCAAGCAAAACCGGUAGUUUCUUGGUCACGACCAGUUAAAGCUAAAUUUUUUUGAAAGAAAGUUUUUACAUGGUAGAACUUCCUCAAGGAAUACAAGGUUUUGAUGAGCUUUAUCUUGAGCCGCCAUCCACGCACGAAUACAUUCAUUUAAGAGAAUAUUUUUGGCGUAGAAAAUCUCAAAUCGACACAAUACAAUAUGAGCUAGUCUAAUCCACAAAGCAUGUGAGAUUGCCCAAUACAAUGCUUGAUGGUCAGAUUUAGACAUGUAAUAAAGUAGUAAGUAUAGUAUCAAAUCCACAUGGAUUGUCGUUCCAAUUUGGCAAUUCACAUUACUUAUCUAGGAACAAUAAAAUAAAACAAAAGAUGAGGGGGUUGCAAUUUAGUCUGUUUGCAGUAGAGCAAGAGCUUAGGAGUAACUUGUUUUGAUUGCAAAAAUUUAAUGGCAUUUAGGAUUCUUCGAAUCCCUAUUCAUUUGUUGGAAUUAAUUAAUGGUCAAGUAUUAUUCAGGGAUUGGUUAAAUGUCUCCCAUAAAAGUGAUGAGUUCGUGGGGUUUUAUUAUCCUACCAGCUGUCGAGUUGCACCUACUGAUCACACGAGUUUGUACCUAUGGGUAGGGGGUUCAAAUCCAAACCGAUCCAAAAUAAAACUGUAAACCCAUCCAAAAAAUCGAAAACCGCAAAAACCGAAUAUUUUUGGUUGCGUUUGGAUUUAUUUUGUAAAAACCGCUAGGAUCAGAUCAGAUUUCAGAUCAUUUUCUCAAAACCGAACCAAACUAAACCGAACUGUAAAAGUAAUAUUAAUACUUAUUUACUCUUUUAAUGAUAUUAUAUAUUGAAUUUUUAUGUUGCUUGUUGGUUUUUAAACUUAUAUAAGGCACUAAUUUAAUCUAUAUUAUUAUUACUUCAUAUGUUUAAAAAAUAAUCGAUAAUUUUCAUAAUGUAAUAUUAACUUUUUAAUAUAUUUUACAUCAAACCUAUUAUUUUACAGUGUUUGUGUAAUAUGAAUAUUAAUAAAAAAAAUUAUAUAUUUUUUUGAAAAAAGUAAAUAAAAAAAAAUAUUUUUGCAUUUUCGAUAUCCAAAAACUGAUCCAAAUUAAACUGCAUAUAUUUGGUUGUUGGUUGUAAAAGUAAUAUUAAUACUUAUUUACUCUUUUAAUGAUAUUAUAUAUUGAAUUUUUAUGUUGCUUGUUGGUUUUUAAACUUAUAUAAGGCACUAAUUUAAUCUAUAUUAUUAUUACUUCAUAUGUUUAAAAAAUAAUCGAUAAUUUUCAUAAUGUAAUAUUAACUUUUUAAUAUAUUUUACAUCAAACCUAUUAUUUUACAGUGUUUGUGUAAUAUGAAUAUUAAUAAAAAAAUUAUAUAUUUUUUUGAAAAAAGUAAAUAAAAAAAAAUAUUUUUGCAUUUUGGAUAUCCAAAAACUGAUCCAAAUUAAACUGCAUAUAUUUGGAUCUGAUCAGUUCAGAUUUUUUUAGAAUAGUCAUCCCAACAGAACCGAACCGCAUGUGAUUUUUACUUUGAAUCGGAUGACAUUUUACCUCAAAAUUGAUCCAAACCGCACCAUGAACACCCCUACCUGUGGAGUCUUACUCUCUCAGAGGUCAUGGUUUUAUUCCUCUCCAACUGUCGAGUUGCACCUUGUCAUGUUUUACUCUCUCAGAGGUAAUUAAAGCAUAAACUUAAAUUAGAGUUCCUAAAUUUCCAAUGGUCCUAAAGGUUCCCUUAUCUAUGAAUCUUAGAAGUACAUCAACAUAUUCUCCAUCUCGAUAGUUCUACAAACGGGCAGCUCUGUCUCGUCUACCUUAUCAAGGAUGAAAAGAAGAGUAAAGUUACAAUGUUGAUUUAAUUCCAUGAAGUUACUAAUGUUUCCCUAAUUAUCAUGGUCCAUUAUCUUAGUUACUUCCUGAUUCGGUUGGGUUUUCACCAAUUAGGUUAUGUCACUUCCCGAAGUACCGUUUUCUUAGGGUGGUUCGAUUCGAGACAAGUAAAUACUUCACAUAAUAAUAUUAAAUAGGAUUAAUAAAAUAACUGAGUAAUGACUUAAAUUAGAUAAUCCAAAAAAUAAAAUAGAGGUUCAUCUUAGAACCAUACCCUAAUAAGGUUUAGUUACUCAUGGUAACUAAAUAUAAAUUACAAAUGAAAUAAAACAUACCCUAGAGACUUAGAGUGAGGAGAGACCCCUUCCUUGAAGCUCCUAGUUCUUGCAUUCCUUUUGAAUCACGUCGUUCAGAAUGAAAAAUUAUCAAUGAGAGAAGUUGUAUUUAUAGGCUUGGUUACCACCUGGGUUUGGGCUGAAAAUUUGGAUUUUUUCCACUUAAAAAGUGGAAAAGCAGUUCUGACCCGCUCCCAGCAUGCCCCAGGCGCAUGGCUGGGCGCAUGAGUGUAAAAAGCCUUGCCCUAUGCACAUGGUUCAUUCCCUAGGCACAUGGAUUAUGCCCUAUUGGCAUAGGUUAUGAUUUUCCGCGUAAUCGCCAGUUUCUUUGUCCUUUGAGUAUUUCCUUCCAUAUAAGAUGUUUUGGGACUUGAGAAUAAAAUUCUUCCAUUUGUAAUGUCUUCUGAGGCGUCUUGAAUCUUUAUUCAUGGUUUUCCCAAUAUCAACACAAGUCUUCAAGAUGUUUUGCUUUGCCGAUUUGCAUGAUUUCUUCUUGAAUCACGUCAAAACACCCCAUAAUUGCCAUGUUUCGAGAAAAACUAGAAUUACAUAACUCAAAUAGAAAACAUUACAAAAUAUCUCGAAGACCAUAUGCAAUUGUUCUAAUACUCCUCUAUUUUAGAUUAAUAAAAAUGACUGAAAAAGAUGGUACAAAUAAAGUAAGAUGACAUGUCGUCAGUGCUUGAAAAUGCUUCUCAGCUUCUGCUCCUUUCCAAUCUUCUGGUCUCUUGAGUUGACCUAGUAAUGUUAGUUUGAGACUUGUAGUAUGUUUCUCUCAAGGUCUUAUGUUCGAUUCUUCCCGAUUAGUUUGUUCAUACAAAACUUUGAUCCGCUUCUAAAUGGAUCUCCCACAAAUAGACAAUGAGAUUAAACCCUUAGACUAGUCGAUCCUUAAGUUGGAUACCAAUUUUUUUAUAAAAUGAAAUAGCGUCAACUUCAAAAGGAGCAAUUUUAUUUUAGAGAGUAAAUUGAUUAAUAUCACUCAUUGGAAAAUAAAUUGCAUAAGAUGUGAGAGUGGCAAGUGUUUUUUUCUCAUAUAUUUAUAGACAAACAAACCAUGUGACAAGUUAGUUUCAAAGUUUUCCUAAAAAAACGAGUUUGCAAUUUACGUAAUUUAACUGACACCCAUUUAUUUUCUUCCCACCAUAAGAUUCCAUAAUAAACUUUAUCGUACGAUGUUGUUGCCGACAUUUAUUUUAGUUGUUGUGGUGUGGUCGUAUGUAGUUUGGUCUAAUGCACCCAUCUUAUUAAAAAUAAAAUAAAAUAGAUUUCAUAGAUUAGAAUGAUGAAUUUUUGUCAUAAUUUAAAUAAACUUAAUGAGUUAUUAAAGUAAAAAUUGAUUUUAAGGUUAGUUAACGUUUUUAGUCAGAAAAAGAAGGUACAUUUUUAUUUGGAUAAUUUUUGAUGGACCUUUCACGAGUGUAUACACUUUGAAUGAUACAGAGAAUAAUGUGUUAGGUUGAUUAUACUCCAUCCGUUUCAAAAUACAUGUCGUAAUUUUACAAUAUAUAUUAAUCACAUGACUUAUUUUGACCAUAUUUUUUAACUAAUAUAUAAAUACAAAUGUUAGCAUGUAAGAUGUUGUUUGAUUCGUUUCGAUGAAUAUUUUCAAAAUAUCAAAUUUUUAUAAUUUCUUAUUAUAUAUAAUUAAAGAUAUUAAUAGUCAAAAUUGAAUAUUAACAUGUGUGUAGUGGUUGACUGCGACAUGUAUUUUUAAACGAAGAGAGUCGUAUAGGAAGCUAAAAAUAAAUAUAGAAUGAAAUGUUGAAUUAGUGUUGGAAAAUAAUACAAAUGCACAAAUAUAAACAUAAUUGAGUGCUUGGUAAAAUAAAUUGCGUAUUAAACAAAAGCUGGAGAUGAAAACUUCUUACCAUUGAUAAUGGAACACAAACUAACAUAAAAAAUUAUUCCCAUUGAUUUUACACACAUCAUGUUGCAUUAGUUGGACGCAACAUCCAUGAAUUGAGGGUCAUUUCCCAUUGCCUCCAAAAUCUCAUGUGAAAGACAAACUUGAAGAUCUAUACUACCUUCUUCUAUUCCAGCAAAAACCGUAAUAAGUCCAUUUCCUUUAUAUCCACUACGAACUGCCACAGGCUUUCCCCAACCAAAAUCAUUACCAUAAACAUCAAACCACGGAGAACUGCUAAUGGCUAUGAAAUUAUUUUUUGCCAUGUUAGGAUACCUAGCAAAGCUUGGAUUUCUUAACCAAGACUCGUAGUGAUUCUUCAACUUCUCAUCAGUGUGUGAAACAAUUAACUUGUUCAUCUCACAAGCACCUUUACAAAGUCCACCUUCUUCCACCAACUCCCCAACUUUCAUUUUAACCAUACAACUUAUAAGUGCAUUUCCAAAAUAAUAUUCUGGUAAUGGUGGAACUAACCUUGGUCGAACUCCUAUCACAACUAUAUUAAAUACUUCUUCUUGUGGGUCAAAUUUUAUGGAACGCAUCACAGAGCACCAAAGGUGAGUUAAAAGCACUUGUAGAGAAGAUAUUUUGAUGGUACCAAUCUCAUCAUUGAUUUUCGAUUUUAGUUGUACAAUUUUCUCUUUUGUGAAAUGAAAUAUCCUAUUUGAUAAACAAAGUUUUUCCUCAUUAGACGACGAAAAACUCAAUUCAUCACCGUAAACGAAAGGAAAUCGUAUGGGCUGUUGAACACCAUUUGGAAACCAACGCUCUAGUGUUGGGGGUUUAGAUAUUUGAUGAUGACAACAACUACGUGAUAUUUCAGCCCAUGAAUUGAUGAAAUGCCACACAGACUCUCCGUCAACGACAACAUGGUUGAACGAGCAACCAAUAAAAAUACCGUCAACUAGCUCCGUUACUUGAACUGCCAACAACGGUUUUGAGGUGCCUUCGUAGCUUUCAACCCCGGUUAAAGCGAAAAAUGAAUCAACAAUUGGAGGUACAUAGGUAGGUUCUAGGAUGUCAGCAACACAAGUAUUCUCAGCUGCAGCAUGGAUAAAGAGUACACCUGCAUUGUUGCAUAUAACAGAACACGAGACGGUGUUGUCAUUGUGCUCCGUUAUUUUGAGACGGCCGGAAAGAGGUUGGAAAAAGGCAAGGGCAGAGGACAAAGAGUGUCUCAGCCGUUGGAUUUGGUUAGCUUCAACUGGAUGGUGAUAAAGAAGACCCUUUGGGUUGGUUGUACCAAGUAGAAACCGGAGAUCCCAUGGAGUCAAAUCAAUAGUUUGAUUACUUGAUUUUGGUGCCUUAAUUGUAUCAGUAGAGAGAACUCGCACGGUUCCCAUUUUUUUUAUUGAGCAAUGUUUUUAUUCUAUACUUUGAGGUUGAUUUGCUGACUUGGAUGGACAUAUAUAUGUAGUUGGUUGUGCUCUUAUAUAAAAAAAACUCGAUUGAUCACGAAAACAUGAUAUUUGGUUGUGCUCUUAUACAACAAAUUCACCCAACCAUUGAAAGAGAGUUGAGGUGUGAUAUUUGAACAAUCAUUUGUUUAUAUGUAUAACAAUUUUUAGAACAACUAUAAAUUUACAAAAAAUUAGUAUUGAUAUAAAGAUCAAAACAAUAGAAAAUAAAAUAAAAUAAAAUAUAAAUAUGAGAGAAAAAAUUAUUGGAAAAGUUGUACAAAAUAGUCGUACAAACGAUGGCAGAUUUAGACAUUUGAUAUAUGUGGAGCUAAAAUAGUUUUUCAGUGUAUUAAAAUUUUAAAUUUGUCUCUAAUUGUACAUUUCGUUAGUCAAAAUAAUCCUUAACAUUAGAAUACUUUUUGUAACCAAAAAAAAAAGAAUACUUUUAAUAUUAUCAUAUUAGUCAUUCAAUAUACUUAUUUAUUGUCAUUUAAUGGACUAUUUUGACUAACAAAGUGCAAAAUCAAAAACUAUUUUAAAAUUUUAAUACAUUAAAAGACUAUUCUAAUUAUUCUUACACAUUCAAAAACUAAAAUGACUAAUAAUCUAUUUAUAAUUAAUAAAUAGAGAAGUUGGAUGUCGGACUUUAACCCUACAUAUUAUUUCCACCUAUCGUUGUCUCCACCUAAUUUCCUUAUCUCCACCUACAUUCACAUGCUCAUUAUCACAUAAAAACAAAAGAGAAAGUUUUGGUAGAGCACAUAUCCAACACUUCAAUUUUAACAACACACAAAAUCAAGAAAAAAUUAAAGAAAAAAUAAAAUUAUAAUAUAUUAAUGGGUUAAAUAUGUUUUUGAUCCAUAUAAAAUAGAGAUAUUUCAAGUUUAAUCCUUACUUAAUUUUAAUAGAUUUUUUAGUCCCUACAAAAAAGAAUUACUUCUAAUUUUAGUCCUUAUUACAACAAAGUUUGUUUAAUUAUCCUUAAACUCUUAAAUUUUUGAACGAUUUUUUUAAGACAAGUUUAAAACAUUAUGAAAGGUUCAUUUACUAAAAUUUAGAAUUUUUUAACAUGAAACGAAUUAAUGUUCUUAACAUGUCUGUAAAAAAUUGUUCAAAAACUCAAGAGUUUAAACAUAAAUUAAACAAAUUUGAAUUGAAGAGUGACUAAUACUGAGUGAAUAAAUUUAUUUUAGGGAUUAAAAGAACCAUUAAAAUUAAGUAAGGACUAAACUUAAAAGGCCCAUAUUUUAUAGGGAUCAAAAAUAUAUUUAACCCUAUAUCAAUUGAUGCUUAUUUAAUUUUGUUAGUUUUAUGUGAGUAUUCUGAAAACAAAAUGCUGUUUAAUUCGAUGAGAUCAUGAACAAAUUAAUAAAACGAGAGUCACGAACUCCGGAUGAAGGUUGAAAAAAAUUAAUGGAACAAGUAAUUAUUAACAUCGAUCGUUUUCCCUAAAAAAAACACAUUGAUCGUUUAAAAAGAAAAACAAAAUAGUCAAAUUACAUAUUUAUCUAUUUAUUUUUUGGAAAAGAAGUCAAAUUAGAGACGUUGUUUGUUAUGUUUUUGUUCACUAAUUAUAAUAUGCCACAUGAACCAAAUUAUUCACUUAAAUUUAAAAUAGAAAUUAUCUUUUAUUUUUAUUUUUUUAAGAACGAUCCUAUUUUUAUUAUUGAUUUUUUUUUUUUUUUAAGAAUGAUCCUAUUGUUUUUUUAGUAAUGAUCCUUUUUUUUGAAGGAUUUAAUGAUACUAUUUUUAUGAUCGUAUAUUGUAUAUUGAAUAUAGAAUCCGUGUGUCAAUUAUAUUUCCUCUACAAAAAUAAAUAAAUUGUGUGUUGAAUAUUGUAAUAAGAGAACAAUAAAAAUUUAUAAAAGAAAAAGAUAGAGAACGAUAAAAACUACAAACAUUAACAACACCUAAGAGCAACCUUUUCGAGUGAAGCUUGAAGAUUGUAUGAAGAGAAAUGAUAUUUGUACAAUAAUUUUUGAAUAACUUUUAAAUUAACUUUUUCUCUCAAAUUUUAAUUGUGUUUAUAUCUCUUUAUCUCUUUAUUGUUUUUGUUCAAUAAAAAGAGAGAAUAAAAUUGUCUCAAAAAUUGUCACAAAAUUAUUGACAUAACAUUAUUCUUUUAUUAACGCACUACAAUUGAUAUUAGUAAAUGAAAUAUGGCUAUAUUACAGAUGUUUGUAGAGUUUUCUUUUAAGGGAGAAAAAUAACUAUCAUAUUAACAAGGAGAACAAAUAAUAUUUGACCCUUAAAUUGAAGAGAAGUAUACGGGGUACUCGACACACAAAAAAGAAAUCACAAAACCCUAAAAAUUAAGACUAAGAAGAGGACUCGAAAACCACUCAUAAAACAUAUACAAGGCCCACUUUCUUUCUAGAUCGGCCAAAAGCUCAGUUCGUCAUCAAUAAGAGCCCACUUUUGCAAAGGCCCAAGUGAACAGUGAUGACACCUCAUAAUAUGAUAGUUGCACUUAUAUGUUUUCGAAUUUUAUCAUGUAAUUUGAGAAUUUUCUAGAGGAUUUAGAGUGAAAUGCUCAUGAUUUAGGCAAGAUUUUAUAAUGUUUUUAUUUGAGUCAUUGUAAUUCAUUUCUUCUCCAACGAGCAACUCUAUAGGUGUUUUGAGUUUUUUUUUUGGCAUAAAUCAUGUAAUUCAACAAAGCAAGACAUCUUAUGAAAGUUAUGGAAGCAAGAGGAUCAAACAUAAUGAAGAUUUAAAGACAAAACAACUUUGGAAAAUUUUGUCACAAGUUCCAAACUCAUAUCAAGGAUGGAAAUCACACGAAGAAUGAAGAAAACAAUAGAUUUUGCAUCUGGUUCAUGUGCCGCAUGCAUCGUCAAGCUUGCAUAGCAAGGAUUGGCAAUUGGUCCAUGUGCCUCGCGCAUACUGAUCAUACAAAGAAUAGCUUUUAUUGUUCCAAUGCCAUGUACCCCCACACAUGUUGUGUGCGGUUUUUUGCAUAUUAAAGCCUCUUUUGAUCUAUAAAUAUAUGGUUCUGAGGCAAAAGAGUGUGACUAGAGCAUCAACCCCCUUUCCAUUUGUUCUUUUGUGUGUUUACUUUUCUUUUUGCUUUGGUGAUGUAUUCAAUUAUCAUGAGUAGAUAAACGCUUUAAAUUAGGAUUCAUAGAUGAACUUCUAUUAUUUGUUGGGUGAAUCCACAAGUUUGUGACAAAUUAAUUUUUGAAUGCUAUUUGAAUUAUGUUUUUAUAUUUAUCGUUCUUAAUGAUUUUCAAAUAUGUUGAUCUUGAAUUGAACUUAGGUUAAAAAUCUUUGAUUAAGUUUUCACUUUUCUAACCGAAACUGAUAAUUAUAUUCGCUCGAGCCGUUCACCGAAAGAUCGGGAAUUUCUCUUGUAUGACUAGGUCUAACGUUCUUAAACGCUCGUGGGAAUACAAGUUCCUACUACCCAUAACGGACCAAUAUUGAAAGAAGGGGCCUAUGGAACUAUAACUAAAGUAGGGAGUAUUUUGUUAGACGUCUUGAGCAUUAACCUCAAAUAGUACUUGAACUAGGAACAUGUUAUAUCCAACAAAGAUAUAGAGGGGAUUCUAAGAAUCCUAAUUGUUUCAACCUUUACUUUUUAAUCGCAACAAUCAAUCUUGCAAACCCCCCCUAUAUUACUUUGUUAUUUGUUAUAAGUUUAGCUAAUUGUCGAGUAAAAAAAACAAUUCAUAUGAAGACGAUAGUUUACUACUUUAUUACUUGGAACAACUUACCAAAUUUGUCAGCAAGGUUUUGACCCCAUUUCCAAGAAUUUUUGAUAUUUUUCUACAAGGUAAUUUACUUUACUUAUUUAUUUCUGUUGUUUCUUUUUAUUCUUGUUUUAUACAUUCAAAACCCUAAAAACGUUUAGUUUCAUGUCAUAUCCUUGUGUUUAAUUUUUUUUGAUAAGUCAAGAGCAAAUUGACAUAAAAAAGACUAAGUUGGAACCCCGCUUUAAUUUUGUGUCAAUUGCUCAUAUAUAUUUCUUAAAAAAAGAGGGGGAAAUUACAAAAUAAAAAUAAAAAUUGGGGGGGGGGGGGGACGGACGACAUAAACCUAACAAGAGUGUCAGUCGACCCCAAACGGGUAAUAAAAAAAAUUAAAACAACACGCAGGUGUAUCAACUUCUAAUUAAUCCUAAAACUAAUUGAAGGUCUUCUAUGCGAUGAUUGAACCCUCUGUCAACACGGAGGCAGUUCAUGUACCAUCAACUCCCUACAACAAUGGCAACAACCUAAACAGCCCUUUCGAGCCCCAAAGUCCAAACCAAACAAAGUGAAUGGCAAAUCUUAAGAUGGCGUAUGAAUCGUCUACCAACACAAAAACAAUUCAAGAUCCAUCAAUUCCCUGCAAAACAACAACGAUCUAGAAUCUCCCCUUUCAAGGAACCAAAGUAACCAAGACAGGCCUAAUUAUAAUCAAUCCCAAAUUUUUGAGAAAUGGUGUAUGAAUCAACUGUCAACACAGAAGGAUUCACGAACCAAUAGCCCCUGAAAAAAAUACAGCAACUUUACCAUCCCUGAAUCCUCCGACCGUAAGAUGCUCAUUACCUAGAAACUUCUGGAGUAACAUCUUUAACCGACAAAGUGGGGCUUCUAUUUAGAACAUAUGUACCCCAAAAAAUAGAUUCAAGCCAAAAUUCCUUAAGAACUUUUCUACAAGCUAGCAUACUUCUAACAAUAUUCAACAGUGUUAUAUUCUUCCUUCCAACAUCAUUUAUGUUGAGGAGUGUAUGUUGCCGUCAGUUGCCUCUUAAUUCCCUUUUCACUGCAAAAUUCAUUGAAAGCAUUUGAUGUAAACUCUCCUCCUGUGUCAGUUGUCAAGCAUUGAAUCUGACACUUUGAUUCUUUAUCAACUAAUGCUUUGAAUUUUCUAAACAUUUCAAAUGCAUUGGAUUUCUCUAUCAAUGGAUAUGUCCAUGUUUUUCUACUGAAAUCAUCAGUAAAGGUUAUGAAAUACAUGCUUCCACCAUUUGAAGUAGGAGUAAUAGGUCCACAUAUAUCUUAAUGAAUAAGGUGCAAAUUUUUAGUGGCUCUUCAAUUUGCAUUUUUGGAAUUGAAUCUCUAUGUUGCUUUCCUAUCACACAGUCAACACAAAUUUCUUCAGUUUCUUGCAAGAUAGGUAACCCUUUAAACAUAUCUUUCUUAGCUAGUGUAUCCAAACCCUUUAAGCUUAGAUGUGCAUAUCUAUAAUGCCAUAGCUUUGUAUCACUUGUGCAUGCACCUUUCAAACACAUAGGAACCACAGCAGCUGCAUAUAUCACAUACAUCCUGUUAGAAGACAUCUGACUAGACAUAAUCAGACCCUUAUUUUCAUGAUAGAAUUUGCAACUAUCUUUAGAAAAUAAUGUAGUAAGAUUCUUCUGCUGCAAUUGACCUAUACUCAACAAAUUGUUCCUCAAACCUGAAAUAUAAUACACAUCGGUGAUCACCUGUAUCAUUCCACCUAUGCACAACUUCAAAUUUCCUCUUCUCAUGACUGACAACUUUGAAUCAUCACUAAGCUUAAUUGAUUCACGAAAAUUGCUCAUCAAAAUUAAACAACCAUUCCUUAUUGGCUAUCAUAUGAUUGUUGCAUCCUGAAUCUAAGAACCACACCUUAUCUUUUGCACCGGUGUUAGCAUUUUCUUCCCAAGUAGGACACCCAUUUUGAUAGUGUCCCAACUUGUGACACUUAUAGUACUCCACCAUCUCUUUUCUUUGUCUUCCUCUUCCCCUUCCCCUUCCCCUUCCACUUGCUCCAUUUCUUCCUCUACCACUACAAGAAAUCUUGUGUAUUGCCAGGGAAAAAUGCCAGGAGCAAAAACUCCUGGCAAAUUUGCCAGGAGCUAUGCCAGGGAAAACUCCAGGCAAAUUUGCCAGGGCCAACCCCUCACAAAAGCCGUGGCAAAAUGUAUGGACAGAAAAGAUUCUUAUGUGGUCAGGAAAAAACAGGACGGUACAACACUUUGCCAAGGGUUGUGCCACCAAAAACCCCUGGCAAAUUGCAAAGGCUGCAAAUUGGUCAGCACAUCCUGAAAAGGCUACGUGAGUAGCUAUUUAAUUGAAUUGAUUGAAGAGCCGUUGGGCUCUGUGCGGUUUGCCAGGGGCUAGACCCUCGGAUAACCCCUGGCAAAUUGCAUCUAUACAAUUGCAUCGUUCCCUUUCAUUUAGUUACAGAAAAAAUUUCUCUUCUUAACAACCUCAAAAAACUACUCUCCAUAAUUUCCCUCAAAAAAAAAAAAAAACUACUCUCCACAAAUUACUCUCUUCUUCAACAACACUAAUUUCUUUUAUUUGGUAAAUUACUACACCUACAUUUUUAUGCUUCUAUUUUAUUUACUUAUAUUGGCAUAUAAUUUUAUAUAUGUUGUUGUAUUUAAUAAUAAAUAUGCAUAUUAUUUUUUGAUGAAGUAUUAAUACAUGUUGAAUAUAUGUUUGUUUUUAUCUAGAUCAUCUCUUGAAUAUAUGUUUUUUUUUCUCUUAAAAUGUAUGUUGAAUAUCUGUUUUUUUUAUUAGUUCUAUUAGUUUUUUUAUUAGAUCUAUAAUUAGUUUCUUUUUAUUUGAUAUAUAUGUUAAAAAAAAACCAGAAUCGAAUUUUUUUUACAAAAAAUGUUUUUAUUAUUUAAAACCGUAUUUUUUUUAAAGUUUAAUUAAAAAAAUAUGUUAUUUAUUAAAAUUUUAAAUUUAUUGGUGUAAUAAGUAUUAAAUUGAUGUUAUUAUAAGUAAAUAGAAUUAAAAAAAAUAAUUUCAAUGAAUAAGUAUAAAAUUGAUUUUAUUAUAAGUAAUUAGAAUUAUAAAAAAAACUUAAAUGAAAAAGUAUAAAAAGUGUUUAUUUAGGAAAAAUUUAAAAAAAAAAUAGUUGAAUGUUAUUCACGUAAAAAAAAAAAUAGUAUUGUCUUACACAAAGAAAUAGCUGAAGGUUAUUCACGCAAAAUUUGAUUAUUAGUGGUGUAAAAAAAAAAUAUUCACGUAAAGAAUUUUUGCGCAAUUUUGUUUACUUACGUAAUCGGUUAUUUAGUCUUGUCUAUUGAAAAAAUUUGUGUUACUAGCGAUACUUGGGGAAAAUAAACUAAUUGGUAUAUAUGUGAACGUUAUAGCUGAAGGUGCCAAAGAUGGAAUAUUAUCAGCAUUAUCGUAGUUGGAUGUAUGACAGAACGUUUGCGGAAGAAGAGGAUUAAAACCUCAUUUUGUGGAAGGAGUUCACGGAUUUAUUUCAUGGGCAUGGGGACAACAAGCUUGUAAAGAUGAGGGAGGGAUAAGAUGUCCGUGUCUGAAAUGUGCGUGUAGAUAUAUAAAGACUAACCCUGAUGAAGUGAAGAAACACUUGGAGAAAGUUGGAUUUAUGCCUGAUUAUUGGGUUUGGAUUUAUAACGGUGAACAAUUUCAAAAUUUUGGGGUGGGAGUCAAUGCACAAGCUUCGAGUAGUGGAAUAAAUGUGGAUGACAACCAACAAUUCAACAUGAUGAAUGAUAUGGUCGCUGAUGCUUUAGGUGUGGAAUUGUCUUACAAUAAUGACGUUGAAUAAAUAACGUUGAAUAAAUAAUGAUGUUAUGAUGAUUUAUUGUAUUGAUAUGAUGUUUUUGUUAUUGAUAAAUAUCUAGAAAUGCCUCUGAAAAAUAAAGGAAAUGGCAAGGGCAACAACAGGAAACGGUAUAAUACUCACGUUGUGGACGCAGCAACAGAAGCUAGAUUAAACCCCAUGCCCGUCACUUCUGCUGCAUCUUCUAGCCAGGGAUCAGCUGGGUCCUCCCAGGCUAGUGUAGCUGCUCCUCCUACGAGUUCUGCUCUUCCUCCCACUUACAUGUUGCCUCCAGUAUAUCCAGGAUAUUAUGGUACCAUACCUCCUAGCUAUCAUUUCCCACCAUAUUCAGUCCCACCACAAAAUCUUCCCUUUCCCCAACAACAACAAAUCUCUCCACAACAAAAUAACCUUCUCUUUCCCCAACAACAACAAAUCCCUCCACAACAAAAUCCACUCUUUCCCCAACAACAAAUCCCUCCACAACAAAACCCACCCUUUCCCCAACAACAACAAAACCCACCACAACCCCAACAAGAAAAUGUGGUCGAAGAGGAUGGUGCAACCCAGAUGAAUGGUGGUAGAGAGCUAGUGCCGUAUCAUGAUGUUUUCCCGGAUUAUCCGAAAGAUUCUCUUGGUCGAUACAUUUUAAGGCCUAGUGGAAGCUCGUAAGUAUUAUAGUAUUAGCUACAUAGUUCAAUUUCAAUUCUUUUAUGUAUAUUUUAAGUUGUAGUAAUGUCACCAUAUGAGUUUUAUUGUUUCAGCUUUUUACCGUGCAAACCGGCUGCUGAAGCUAUCAGAGACAUAAUUCAUAAUUGUUAUCAUCACUUUUGGAAGAAAUAUGGUGACGUGGAUGAUAAUGAGAAAGACCGCUGGUUUAGGCUCUUUGAGGUUACUUCAAAUCUAUAUUAUAAUUUUUAUUUUAUUUCAUAUGCACAAUUGUUAUAGUAUACUAAUUUUCUUUAAUAUGUUAUAAUGCAGUGCAAGUGUUCUUGGGACGCCGUUUAUCAAGAUAUAAUGCGGCGUAAUUUUCACAUCAGAGCUUCUGCCCGUUUUUCAGAUUUGCUUAGAAGAGCCCGUAUUCGGUUUGAGGAGACAGGAAAACGGCCACAUUGGAUAGGCUCACCUAUCUUUGCUGACUUGGUUAAGUAUUGGGCGUCUGAUGAGUUCAAGAAAAUAUCACAGAAAGCAAAGACGAACCGGGCCUCAGAAAAGGGAGGAUGCAUUCACACUGGCGGUUGCUUAAGCAACGGCGAGCAUGCUGAUCGAUUGGUAUAAAUAAUAAACUUUUAUUUAUUUUUCCAUAUCAUAUUUAAAUUUGAUUGUUUUAAAUCAAUACUACUAAAUUGAUGCAUUUGACCAUAAAUUUUAAUGUUUAAUUAAUUCAUAAUUUUAUUAUUUCUUGUGACAAAUAGACUCGGACGUUACGCCGGGAUCCGUUCAUUAACGAGAUUCACGACAAAACACACAAAACUAAGUCCGGCCAAUACUGUGACGACCGUGCUAGGAGAGUGCAGGUAAUCUUUGAUAAUUAUGUCACAUUUUAGGCCUUAAUGUUAUUAUUCUGUACAUGUAAUGUUUAUGUGUGGAAGAGCAAAUUUGCAAUAAUGAAAGAGCAAUCUGUGUUUUAUUUUCUUGGUAGACCCGGAAGAAUGUAACGUUUAUGUGUGUUUUAUUUGCAAUAAUGAAAGAACAAUUAUGAUUAUUCUGUACAUGUAAUGUUUAUGUGUUAUUAUUUUGUCACAUUGUGUGUUUUAUUUUCUUGGUAGACCCGGAAGAAUGUGCUUAUGAUAUGUGUGACUCCUGUUCAAUUUUAAGUUUUGUAACUGAAACUUGUGGCUUUCACUAACUCUUACCUUUCGGAUGGGGUCUUAUACUUUGCUAGCUAUUAUUGGAAAUACAUAAAUAGCUCUUCCAAUAUCAUCAUUCAGGGACAUUGAACAAGGUUACACGAAAGAAAGAAUGAAACUAAGCAUCAAAUAUAUGGUGGUUAUUUCAUGCUAACUCCGGUUUUGUGUUUCAUUUUCCACCUUUUUUUUUCAUAGGUUUUGUCUCUCUAAUGCAUCAUAGGUUUUUUCCAUUACAGACCUCUUUGUCUUGCUCUAUUGUUGAUGAUGAUACUUCUAGUUAUUGUUUAAUGUUGAUUUACUGGACUAUAAAGCAUAAACUAGGUGUGAAUGAUGCAUACACAUUGAAUACUCUCCAGUUGUGUCCUUAAUUAUUUUGUUAUUAUUUGAACAGGAGGAGUAUGACCGGCUGCUUGCAGAGGCUAUUUCUGAAGGGUCAACUGUUGAUCACUCUUUGACCUUCCGUACUUGGAAAAAAGUAGUAGGCGACAAGAAGAAGGGUAAACUCUAUGGUCUUGGUAACUUGGCCGCUAACUGUCGGCCGGGUAGUGUUGAAUCAACGCUCACAUUUACGCUCAAUCAUGGUGAAGGAUCCUCCCGACAGCCUGAGCUGACGCCAGAGAUGCGGGAGCUUAUAAAUAGAUUGGCACAAGAGCAAUUCGCGCAGCAGAUGGCGACUCAAGCGGCUGUUGUGCAAGAUUUGCUCAACCGCCAAAGAUCUUAUGAGGAGCAGCUCGCUCAAUUUAGGCAAGCACAGGCUCAAGAUCCCUCGCCGAUUUUAAGUCCCAAUGUUGAGCCUUAUCCGGUCGAUAGAGAUGAGGAGGAGGAUGGUGUGGAUAAUGAUGAUGAUGAUUGAAGGUGGUGUGUCCUUUAUGAUAAAAUUUUUGGGUCUGUAAUGUUUGGGGAAGUUUCUUAUACUUCCCGAUACAAUUUCUACCUAUUUGAUACCUAUGGUGUGUGAUGUUGGUACAAUUUUAAUUUCAAUGAAGCUAGACAAUAUUUUAUGUGUGAUGUUGCUUUAUUUUUCAAUGUUAACUACAUUUAAAUUGUUUGUUAAAAUUAUUUUAAUUUCCAUUAAUUGUUAUUGUUAAAACAAUUUUUAUAAAAAGAAAUAAAAAAACAAUUUAAAAACAUUUAAUUAAUUAAUUAAUUUUCGAAAAAUAAAAUUUAAAUUCUUUUUUACAAUUAUUUUAAUUAUUAAAUUUUAAUAUUUUGAUUUUUUGUAACAAAUAAAAAACGUUUUUAAAAGAAAAAUCGUACACAAUUUGCCAGGGGUUAACCCCUCGCACAGUCCCUGGCAUAUGAUCCUGACACAGUCUGCAAAAGUCUGUAUUGACCAGAUUGACCAGAAUACGUCAGAAAAGCCUGUAAUCUUGCAGACACAAUUUGCCAGGGGUUGUGCCAGGGCCUGUGCCAGGAGCGCAUUUGCCAGGAGCUAAACCCCUGGCAGAGUCAUUUGCGAUGAGCAGAUUAGCCUGGGAUUCUGCUCCUGGCAAAACCCCUGGCAAACGUCCAUUUGCCACGGCUUUCUACAUUUUGCCAGGGCUUCUGCCCCUGGCAAAAUGCAACAUUUCUUGUAGUGUACCAUGAGUAAAACCACCAUCUCCAGUUCUUCCUCUUCUUGAAUUUGACACCUUCAAGAGUUGUUCUUCUUCCUUUUUCUUGUGAAGUGUCAUUCUUGCUUCUUGAACAAGAAAAUUGCUUUGCAGUUCAUUAAUGGAAAAAGUGGUAAGGUCAUUGGAUUCUUCUAUGGAGCAAACCACAUAGUUGAAUCUUGAAGUCAUGGACCUAAGAAUCUUCUCCACCAUAGUUGUUUUUCCUUUCUUUCUCCAUGUGCAGACAUCUUGUUUGCAAUUGCUAGGGUUCUUGCAAAAUACUCAUCAGUCACUUUGAAAGUGACAGUUAAUUAGAAACAAAAAAAUUUAUGUAAAAGUUAUAGUUAUAAAGAAACGGAGGGAGUAUAAUAUAAGCAAAAGUUUAGUUUUUAUUAUUAUUCUACUUGAAUAUAGUUGAGUGCUUAAUAAGAGUAGUACAAAUUAUAACAUUUGAUGAGGACAAAAAAAACAUGAGAAAUGAUAUUUGAAUAUUCAUUUAAUGAUAAUUUUUGUGAUAAUUUUCUCUCUCAUACUCACAUUAUUUUUACUUUAGGGCCUUGUUAACGAAUGUCCCCGGGCACUCUUUAAGCAUUCCAAAAGGAGAAAUUAUUCCAUAGAAAAGUCAAAUGUUUCAAUUUCCAAUACAUUGGUUACAUAACUUUUCAAAAAAAGUUACCUUUUAAAGGUCUUAAAGAGUGCCCCGGGGGCACUCGUUAACAUUUCCCUUUACUUUAUCUCUCUAUUGUUUUGGUUUCGUACAAAUACCUAUUUUUAUUUUAUAAAUUAUGGUUGUCACAAAAAUGGUUGUUCAACUAAUACUCCUCAAAAAACAUUGUAGUAGAAUACAUCAUAGUGCACAACACAGGUAACCACAUGUCCUGCAUCAAUUGAUUGCAUAGUUUCUACUGUACUACGAUUUUGGGAGCGACUUUGCACGUCUUGUACUAGUUUCCUAGUUCUUAAUAAUAAAAAAUUUGCUUAUAAAAAAAGAAACAAAAACUGGAGAUCAAAACUUCAUACCAUUAAUAAUGAAAAAAAAAAACCUUAGACUUGGACAUAAAAAAAUUAUUCAUGGGUUGUCACACAAAAACCAAAUUGAAGCAUCUGAACAAUACUGCACCAAAUUGAUUUUACACACCUCACGUUGCAUUAGUUGGACACAACAUCCACAAAUUGAGGGUCAUUUCCCAUUGCCUCCAAAAUCUCGUAAGGAAGACAGAUUUGAAGGUCAAUACUACCUUCUUCUAUUCCAGCAAAUACAUUAACAAGUCCUUUCAUUUUAUAUCCACUACGACUAAGAAAUUGUUUUUGGCUAUGUUGGUUAUCCUAAGGAAGCUUGGAUUUUUUAACCAAGACUCGUAGUGAUUCUUCAACAUCUCAUCAGUGUGUGAAGCAAUUAACUUGUUCAUCUCACAAGCACCUUUACAAAGUCCACCUUCCUCCAACAAUUCCUCAGCUUUCAUUUUAACCAUACAACUUAUAAGUGCAUUUCCAAAAUAAUCUUCUGGUAAUGGUGGAAUAAGCCUUGGUCUAACUCCUAUCGCGACUCUAUUAAAUACUUCUUCUUGUGGGUCAAAUUGUUUGAAACGGGUCACAUAGCACCAAACAUGAGUUAGAAGCGCUUGUAGAGAAGAUAUUUUGAUGUUACCAAUCUCUUUGUUGAUUUUUGAUUUCAGUUGCACGAUUUUCUCCUUUGUAAAGUGGAAUAAUCUAUUUGAUAAACAAAGUUUUUCAUCAUUAGAUGACGAAGUAGUCAACCUAUCAGAGUGAUUCUUUUCUAACUCCAAAAAGAAAGGAAAUCGUAUGGGAAGUUGAAUACCAUUUGGAAACCAACGUUCAGAUGUUGGAGGUUUAGAUAUUUGAUGAUGACAACAACUACGUGAGAUUUCAGCCCAUGAAUUGAUGAAAUGCCACACGGACUUUCCGUCAACAACAACAUGGUUGAAUGUGCAACCAAUAAAGACACCGUCAACUAGCUCCGUUACUUGAACAGCCAACAAUGGUUUUGACGUGCCUUCGUAGCUUUUAUCUCCUAUAAAGGCAAAUAGUGAAUCGACAAUUUGAGGUACGUAGACCGGUUCUAGGAUGUCAGCAACACAAGUAUUCUCGGCUGCAGCGUGGAUAAAGAGUACACCUGCAUUGUUGCAUAUAACAGAACACGAGACAGUAUUGUCCUUGUGUUCCGUUAUUUCAAGACGGCCAGCAAGAGGUUGAAAAAAGGAAAGGGCAGAGGAUAGAGAGUGUCUCAGCCGUUGGAUUUGGGUUGCUACAACCGGAUGGCGAUAAAGAAGGCCCUUUUUGUUGGUUGAAACAAGUAGAAAGCGGAGAUCCCAUGGAGUCAAAUGGAUUGUUUGGUCACUUGAUUUUGGUGCCUUGAUUGUAUCGGAGGAGAGAACUCGGACGUCACCCAUUAAAUUAUUUCAGGUUAUUUUAUUUUAUACGUUGAGGCUUGGAAGGACAUUUAUGUAGAUCGAUUAUAUAUGAAUAUUUUUGAGGUAAUAUAAGACAUGAGUAUAUUGUU
rnacentral:lncRNA from 1 species